GAUCCAAAACCAGAACACUAGGCAACUCAUAUCAUAGAAUGCACGCAUAUUUUAAGAGGACUGUCUGCAGGGAAUGUGUCUGACCAAUCACGGUGGGUGUGGGCCGCCUGGGCCAAAAAUGUCAGGGCCGAUUUUUUGUCCCAGUGCAGCCCUGACAGACAGUAUAUAA